ACAUCAGUUUGAUACCGUUUGCGGUGUUGACCUUUAUUUUCAGUAACUCUUGUUGUAUGUUUGUUCUUGGUUUUCAAAGGAGCAAGUAGUUGUUAAUCUCCAGAACCAACUUCUGCAGUGUGAAUGGCUUUCCUGUAAACUGUUCUGGUGCAGUUAGAAGCUGAUGAUCUUGGAGUUAAUUGGCAAUUUCAGAGAAUUUGGAGAGGAGACCUUGGAAGCCUUUUAGAAGGUAUCGUUUGGACAGAAAAUAGUGCACCCAUGGAACAGCAAACUCCCAGCUCUUCCAAUCUUCUGGCGAAUGGAAAUGAAAA